UGGUGGGGUGCUUUGUCUGGUUAAUUCCGUUAACGAACGAGACCUUAUUCUGCCAAAUAGUUUCCAAAACUUCGGUUUUCGGCUUACUUCUUAGAGGGACUUCGUGUGUUUAUCAUGAGGAGGUUUGUGGCAAUAACA
rnacentral:rRNA from 1 species